rnacentral:rRNA from 1 species
GAUGAACGCUGGCGGCGUGCCUAAUACAUGCAAGUCGAGCGAACAGAUAAGGAGCUUGCUCCUUUGACGUUAGCGGCGGACGGGUGAGUAACACUUGGAUAACCUACCUAUAAGACUGGGAUAACUUCGGGAAACCGGAGCUAAUACCGGAUAACAUAUUGAACCGCAUGGUUCAAUAGUGAAAGGCGGCUUUGCUGUCACUUAUAGAUGGAUCCGCGCCGUAUUAGCUAGUUGGUAAGGUAACGGCUUACCAAGGCAACGAUACGUAGCCGACCUGAGAGGGUGAUCGGCCACACUGGAACUGAGACACGGUCCAGACUCCUACGGGAGGCAGCAGUAGGGAAUCUUCCGCAAUGGGCGAAAGCCUGACGGAGCAACGCCGCGUGAGUGAUGAAGGUCUUCGGAUCGUAAAACUCUGUUAUCAGGGAAGAACAAAUGUGUAAGUAACUGUGCACAUCUUGACGGUACCUGAUCAGAAAGCCACGGCUAACUACGUG